GAAUAAAGGUGCAAAAAUAUGUAGGAUCCAUGCAUGUUAUGCAUAAUUCAAACUCUCUCUCUGUAUUCCUACCCCCACUGCUCAAUGCCUGUUCCUCCUGUUAUACCUCAAAAAACCACUAAAGUUUCAUGCUGUUGUUGCUGAUAUUGACUUACUGAUAUGGACAUUCAGUACUUGGUCUCUACUGAGAAGCAGAUGGAAUCACUUUCAAUUGAUACUGAGCAGCUGAUCUUCAGCUUGCCUUCUUCAUUUUUGAUCCAUUUAUGGACUAAGUGAUUCAGAGAAACCAGAGCUGCUGUUUUUUGGAGAAGGAUUAGCAUAAAGGUCAUAACUGAAUUUUCUUCACAAACUCCAAUACCUACUGCUAAUAUGCUGUGUGCUUAAGCCAAUCAAAUGGAAUUUCCUUUCAAGUCUCUCUGUGUUAAUUUCUCUUUCUAGAGAAAGAGAAUUAUUAAGGGGAAGAAGAAGACAAGAAUGUGUAGGUUCAGUUAGCACUGCCCAGUACAUGCACUUAAGAUCUGAAAGAACAAAGCAAACAUCUGGCUGUGGUGAACUCAUGCCCAGGAGCAGUGACUUGAAAUUUAUUCACACUGUUGAAUAUCAGUGGAACUUUGUACUACACUCUACAGUCUUUCAGAUCAAAAGUUUUCCUGGGGUUCUUUGUGAACGUGAAAAGUCCUAAUCCACAUACUCAAGAAACUUGCAUUAGAAGUCUUUUCCUUCCAUUAUUUCUGAUCUUUCUUAAUAAAUCUGAAGAGACUUGGCUCAGUGCAAGCAGGAGCAAGUCCAAACUCUCUUGAUGCAGAAAUAGCAGUGCUACAGCUACUGCAGGCUGAUUAAGACAAGAAGAGGAAAACAUGAAAAAUCCAGUUAAUUGAUCUUUUGCAAACAUGAUCUGUGAAAUUAUGCAUUCUGUUGAAGGCAAGAGCAACUUAACCAUUAACUUCAGAGAAGAAAACAUUUUAUCCAGUGCCUAUGGUGUCAGGUCCUGUGAAAGAUGAAUCCUAAUUUUCAUCAAGAAAGGAAGAAUCCAUACAUACCGAUGGUAUAAUGCAGGUAGGUAAAUUCUAA